UGCCAUGGCAGUGCUGGGACAAGGAGCAGUAAGUUGUAAUUAAGCGGCAAGCUAGGAGAAAGGGGCUUUUAUGUCCUUGUGUGGGGGUGGACAGGAGAAAAAGCUCCUGGCACUGCAGUCAAGGUGCAAAGAGGGACACGGGAAAGAGCAGGUUGGUGGCUGGGGCAGGUGCUCGUCAUAACCAUCACUGAAAACUGUGUGUGCUGAGAACCUGGGUUCAAUUUCUAGUACCUACAUCCAUCCAGAACUGCAGCUCUAACUCCAAGGAUCUGACUCCCUCGUCUCUUCUCCCAGGGCAUCAGGCACACACAGCACUCAGAGCCAGCCAGUGAGGGAUUCAAAGGCCUACGGGGGAAACUUGGCAGACAUGGGACCUCAGCUAACUCCCAUAAUCUCCCUGAGGAUCAGGUGGCAUAUUACCUUUAUUGGUUUGCAAGUGUUGAACCAUUCCUGCAUCACUGGGACGAAGGCAACCUGCGCGUGGAUUUUCCAAUUUAGUGGACUACAUAAGGCUCCCAGAUGUCACUCACUGAGGAGUUACAGAUGCUGGACACACCUCUGCAGCCUGUCAGUGUUUGGAUUUCAAAUGCUGGUCAUGUCCCAGUGGCUCUUUCAGACAUCACACUGGCUACUAGAUUUUAAAAUUAUUUUUAAACUCAAGUCAGAAACUCAAAUCAUGAUUUUUUGCAAUCAAAUAUUUUAGCCCACUAUAAUCCAAAGACAUACUUACAUGAUAUAUGUUGAAAAAUGAAGCUAGGAAACUAUUAAAAGUUUUUUUUUUUGCAUACUUAAGCCAUUAUGUUUCUAUAAGAACAGAAAAGUUUGUGUGUACAGUAAAGACACUGCAGUUC
rnacentral:lncRNA from 1 species